GCCUACGGGACGCAGCAGUGAGGAAUAUUGGUCAAUGGCCGGAAGGCUGAACCAGCCAAGCCGCGUGAAGGACGAAGGUGCCAAGCAUUGUAAACUUCUUUUGUCAAGGGACAAAAUCAGGCUCGAGAGCCUGACCGAGGGUACUUGAAGAAAAAGCAUCGGCUAACUCCGUGCCAGCAGCCGCGGUAAUACGGAGGAUGCGAGCGUUAUCCGGAUUUAUUGGGUUUAAAGGGUGCGCAGGCGGCGUGUCAAGUCAGCGGUAAAAUGUCGGGGCUCAACCCCGGCCGGCCGUUGAAACUGGCGUG
rnacentral:rRNA from 1 species